rnacentral:rRNA from 1 species
UACGUAGGGGGCAAGCGUUGUCCGGAAUUACUGGGCGUAAAGCGCGUGCAGGUGGCUAUAUCAGUCGGAUGUGAAAUUGCUUGGCUCAACCAAGCAGCUGUGUUCGAUACUGUAUGGCUUGAGUACGGAAGAGGAAAGUGGAAUGUACGGUGUAGCGGUGAAAUGCGUAGAUAUCGUAUAGAACACCUGUGGCGAAGGCGGCUUUCUGGUCCGAUACUGACACUGAGUAUGCGAAAGUCUGGGGAGCAAACGGGAUUAGAUACCCCUGUAGU